CCAAUUUGUACUAAAUUGUUCGAUUCUUAUGAUGCUGCUUAUAGGGCAGAAUCUGUUUUAUUGGAAAAAUCUGACUUAGAAUCAACCGACAUAGAAGCGAUCAACAACCCCACACAGUGCUAGAGAUGAAAGUGAG